GAUUUUUUUCAUUUAUCAUAUUAAAGGUUUUUAGUACUAAUUCAAUUCCAUCUUUAGGUAUUGCAGUAAUAAUAUCAUCUACAUGUACUUUUAAGAAUGGAACUGUAAAGGAACCAUCAAGUUGUUGGUAAAAAGAUCCAUCGAAUUGAAAGUAGCUUGA